CAUCACCAAGUGAACCGAGAGAACCAGUGAGGGUAAGCUUGGCCACUUGGGCUAUGGAUGUCAAUCAAGCUAUGUGUUGGGGGAAAGUGGGAGGAAGUUUGUCACCCGUUUUAAUAUCUGAAAUUCCUUUACGUGGGUGGUAACUGGGGAACAGCUGCAGGUAGCUGAGUCAUAGCCCAAAUCCUAGCAAAAAAAAAAAAAGAAGAAGAAAGAAAGAAAGAAAGAAAGAAUAAAGAAAAGAAAAACUGCUAGUGGGACCCCCGCCAGCAACUGAGCAAAGGCUUCUCAAGCUGGAACUCAGCAAGUCACACUGGCCCAAAGAUGAAGAAGGCCACCCUCCUCUGGACUGUCUGCUGGAAGGAAGGCAUGGCGACCAGAGGGAGCCUGGAUUGCCCUGGCUUCGGGUUCUGAGCUAAAUCAUUGAGUGACUGCAGAUGGGACCUCUCACCUCCCUGGGCCUCUUGCUUCCUCAUUUCCAUCUAGAGGCCACAGGUCCACCAGGAAUACAGUGUCUGGCUUUCAUGACCCUUGGGAACACAGCAGAAAGAACCUGGACUUCAUUCCUCUUACGUUUAAGAAGACAAAGUAGAGCCAUGGCUCUUAGGAAGAAUGUUCCAAACAUUAUUACCAUACAGCUCACCCCAGUCUCAACCUCCACCAACUUCAAGCCCAACCUGAAGCUACACUCGAUUCAAUGAAAUGUGUAUUUUCCAAAUUAUGUUUUCUUCAAGGGCCGAGCUGGCUGUAGAAGGAGACACAGUGGGAAAGCAUGCCUGCAAGAGCUCAUGGUGUGUCUUCUGCUUCUACAUGCUGCCCUCCUCCAUCCAUCUGAAGGUGCUGCCCCUCCCAGUGGCUGUGCUGGGCUUGUGAGUUUGUGUAAUGCCCGUGUCUGGUUGCUUCAGAGAAUCCGCUACUGGCGUAUCAUGGACUCUGUAGGAAAUGAAGCCAUUGUAGAAAUCAGAGUGGUUUUGAUCAUUCUUCUACAACACAGCCACUCGAGAUGAAGAAUUGCAUGGUCCAAAAGGAUGAAGGGCAAGCCCCCUUCCAAAUAACAAUGCAAAGGUCUGGGUCCUUCCAUCUUCUGAUUACUCCAGCUUGGAGUCUUCGCCCUCCAAUCACAAGAACAGGAAUUUGCAAGAUACUUCACUGCAAGGUGAUGGAUGUCACUUCAGUCCAUGUUCCAGGACCGAGCAUAGCACAAUUGCAAGGAAGACUGGGUACUGUGUAUAGGUCUGACCACUAGCCUGCAAGGAAGACUGGGCACUGUGUAUAGGUCUGACCACUAGCCUACAUACCUCACUGUGGGCUCCAGAGGGGUCAUCUGUGCUCCUAUAGCCUUACCUCCUUCUCUGAAAAAUGGGGAUAAUAGCCCCCAGCCUGUAGAGUUCCUGUGUGAUUAUUACUAUUGUAACUAACUUGACAGACUUUAGAAUCACUAGGAGACAAACCUGCGGAUACAACCAUGAGAGAGAUUCUAGACUAGGUAAAUCCAGGUGGGAAAAUGCACUCUAAGGACUGGAAUCCUGUACAGAAUAAAAAGAGAGAGAGAAAGAAAGAAAGCCGACUGCACAGGAGUGUUCAGAGCUUUCUGCUUCCUGACUGUGUGUAUAAUGUGACCAGUUGCCUCAAGCUCCUGGUCCUGCUGUGACUUCUCCACCAUCAUGGAUUGUCAUCCCUCAAACUGUGAGCCCAAAUGAACCUUCCCCAAGUUGAUUUUGUAAGGUACUUUCUCACAGUAUUUUCUCUCAUGAGAAAAUCAACUCGUGUAGUGAUCUUGUGAGGCUCAAAGGGGAUCUACUUCUGAAGAUACCUAACAGUACAAUGCCAGGCACAGAGGGGAGUCACAGGAGUGCUCCCCUACUCCUCCCCUCCCCUAGCAGUUUCUUCUUAGGCCCAUGGGGAAAGACUAGGCAGCAUCAGCCACAGAUGGUUUCAAUUGGGUAAACCAGGAUAUGCAGAUUCCUUGCUGGUCUUCUCAAGACAAAUUAGUACCAUGUCACUGCUGGAAAAGGACAGGUCCUCCUAGGCCAUUCUGAGUUCUUCCUGAUGUUUUGUGUCUGGGUCACAAGAACAAAGGAAACUGCCUAUGAGUGCUAGGGUGCUGAAUUUUAAAGCUAUGGCAGUUGACUCAGUAUCUCUCCUGAGCUACACACACACACACACACACACACACACACACACACACACACACACACACACGGAG